UACAGCGGUCUCAAGCGUUGUUCGGAUUCAUUGGGCGUAAAGGGUGCGUAGGCGGCGCGGUAAGUCGGGUGUGAAAUCUCGGAGCUUAACUCCGAAACUGCAUUCGAUACUGCCGUGCUUGAGGACUGGAGAGGAGACUGGAAUUUACGGUGUAGCGGUGAAAUGCGUAGAUAUCGUAAGGAAGACCAGUGGCGAAGGCGGGUCUCUGGACAGUUCCUGACGCUGAGGCACGAAGGUCAGGGGAGCAAACGGG
rnacentral:rRNA from 1 species